rnacentral:rRNA from 1 species
AUUGAACGCUGGCGGCAGGCCUAACACAUGCAAGUCGAGCGCUCGGCGGACGGGUGCGUAAUGUAUGGGGGCUGCCCGAUAGAGGGGGAUAACUACUGGAAACGGUGGCUAAUGCCGCAUACUAUCGGAUAACCCAUAUGUGAUUAGCUAGUAGGUGGGGGAAAGGCUCACCUAGGCCACGCUCUCUAGCUGGUCUGAGAGGAUGAUCAGCCACACGGGGACGGAGACACGGCCAAGACUCCUACGGAGGCAGCAGUGGGGAAUAUUGCACAAUGGGCGCAAGCCUGAUGCAGCCAUGCCGCGUGUAUGAAGAAGGCCGUAGGGUUGUAAAGUACUUUCAGCGGGGAGGCGUUACCCGCAGAAGAAGCACCGGCUAACUCCGUGCCAGCAGCCGCGGUAAUAC